GCAGUGGGGAAUUUUGGACAAUGGGCGCAAGCCUGAUCCAGCAAUGCCGCGUGAGUGAAGAAGGCCUUCGGGUUGUAAAGCUCUUUUGUCAGGGAAGAAACGGUGCGGACUAAUAUUCUGCGCUAAUGACGGUACCUGAAGAAUAAGCACCGGCUAACUACGUGCCAGCAGCCGCGGUAAUACGUAGGGUGCAAGCGUUAAUCGGAAUUACUGGGCGUAAAGCGUGCGCAGGCGGUUUUGUAAGUCUGUCGUGAAAGCCCCGGGCUCAACCUGGGAAUUGCGAUGGAGACUGCAAGGCUUGAAUCUGGCAGAGGGGGGUAGAAUUCCACGUGUAGCAGUGAAAUGCGUAGAGAUGUGGAGGAACACCGAUGGCGAAGGCAGCCCCCUGGGUCAAGAUUGACGCUCAUGCACGAAAGCGUGGGGAGCAAACAGGAUUAGA
rnacentral:rRNA from 1 species